GGGGAAUAUUGGACAAUGGGGGCAACCCUGAUCCAGCCAUGCCGCGUGAGUGAAGAAGGCCUUAGGGUUGUAAAGCUCUUUCACCCGUGACGAUGAUGACGGUAGCGGGAGAAGAAGCCCCGGCUAAUUCCGUGCCAGCAGCCGCGGUAAUACGGAAGGGGCUAGCGUUGUUCGGCAUUACUGGGCGUAAAGCGCGCGUAGGCGGCCAUGCAAGUGAGGCGUGAAAGGCCUGGGCUCAACCUGGGAAGUGCGUUUCAGACUGCACGGCUUGAGUCCGGGAGAGGGUGGUGGAAUUCCCAGUGUAGAGGUGAAAUUCGUAGAGAUCUGGAGGAAUACCGGUGGCGAAGGCGGCCCCCUGGACGAAGACUGACGCUCAGGUGCGAAAGCGUGGGGAGCAAAC
rnacentral:rRNA from 1 species